AGGUGUAACAGAAAGAGAGAGGAAAAAGAUCAAUUAAAUCCAAACAGACUAAAACUCAAACACUGGACAGGAAGUCGAGACCAGGACUGCAUGAGUAAACUGGAAGCACUGUGUGUCUGUUGUGUGUGCGUGUUAAUUAGUGCAGGAUUAGGCUGAGCUGGAGGAAAGUUGCAGCCUGCAGCAUUUCACACUGAGAUAUGCAGAGAUCCUCUCAAGUGCCCGACUAAAACCCGCACUGAUGGUAACUCAGUGCCACACUCCCUGUGAAAGUCAAGACCAGCCCAGAGCUCUCUGCAGGACUGCACACUGACAGCGAUCCACAGCUGUUAAAUGAGGAGGCUCACUGCUUCAUCACUUUUUGUUCAAGGAGAACAUUUAGAAGAAGAUCCGUGCAGUAGGUGACAGAUGGAUGCAUCAUGGCCAACUUGGGGUUCAGUGUUUUGCCCAGGGAUACAAGGGAUCAAAUUUCUGACCUCCCACUCAGUAGAUGGUAGAUGACCCUGUGCAGCUCCUGAACCACAGCCACAACCUGGCAGCACAUGUAUGAGAGAAAACGAGGUACAGAAUAAUAGGACUCCUGUAAAGGUUGUGUUGAGAGCACACAACUUGGAAAGUAUUUCCUUCUGCCUGAAAAGCAGUGCUUGGUACUUGUGUGUCAUGACCUCAAUUUCUAGUCUCUGAGAAAUGUGAAACUGCAUGUCCAUGUUUUUUCAAAUAAAUAAAAAGGUUCAUAUUUGCAGAAGGACAUUUUGUUCCAGAUAGUACCAAAAUCAAAUAUAACUGCUAAUCAACUGUUUGGCUUAAUAAUUGUAAUAAAUGUCACUUAAAUAGACAUUGCAAUGCUGCUGAGUUGUUUUAAUGAACAUUUUGCGAUCUAGUGAGCAGUUUUAGUAAAAACUACUGUGUAUUUUUCUUAGUAAUGAAGCAGCAUGCUCCUCAGUGAAGCUUGGUUCAUUAUAAUAGCAGCAGAGCUUCACAGACACAGUGGAAUAAAGUCUCUGGAUUAUGUGGGAAAUUGUUCUGUGUUGCUUCUAUGCACAG